rnacentral:hammerhead_ribozyme from 1 species
AUUCAGCUGACGAGUUCGAAGUAGAACGAAACGCAUGUCCUGGAU